UAGCAACUGUGGUACCAUCCUUACCUGUUCCUCCUCUGGGAGAACCGCAAAUGGUGAGCAGAUGAGAGCUGAUUAAAAUCUUCUCUGGGUGAAGACCAGCAAAGCCCCAGUCUGUUCCUUUCUGAA
rnacentral:snoRNA from 1 species